UACAUGGGGUGCAAACGUUGCUCGGAAUUAUUGGGCGUAAAGCGCACGUAGGCGGUUCGUUAAGUCGGAUGUGAAAGCCCUCGGCUCAACUGAGGAAGUGCACCCGAAACUGGCGAGCUUGAGUACGAAAAGAGGAUCGUGGAAUUCCUGGUGUAGCGGUGAAAUGCGUAGAUAUCAGGAGGAACACCGGUGGUGUAAACGGCUUUCUGGACCAUAAACUGACGCUGGAGGCAACGAAAGCCGUGGGUAGCAAACAGG
rnacentral:rRNA from 1 species